ACAUAGUUGAAAGUGUGUGCCUCCAUAGUUUAUAAAAUAACAGAACCUCCUGCUUCAGAAAUUUUGCCGUCCUGUAGAACUUGUUCCUCUUAGUCCUAAUUUUGUCUAUUGUAACAUAUAAUCAGAGACCCCUGAAAUAUAUACUAGGACACAGCCUCCAUUCCUCAUCAGGAAGUAUUGGUUAGGAAAAAUGUCUUCAUUGAUAGCACCGAAGAGGACUUGUCAUGUCUUCUAGUUCAUCUUGUAGUCUGUUGUCAGUAAGCAGUAAGAUAAUUAACUUACAGCUAAGACUUCUCAGCUAUCCUGGAUAUGGUGUCUUUAUUUCAGCUUUGUGGUUUGGCCUCCUGAAUUAUUUGGAGCUUCCACCAGGCUCUGCUAGACUUUGGUGGGCAUAAGCAGGAAGUACCAGUUGCAGGAAAUACCAGCAGAUAAGAAAGCUAUGAUCUGUUUUCUGGGCCAGGUCUUUUUUCCUAAAGCACUAUCACCACCCAAAUAGCCUGCAUAAUCAGUAAAUAGAUGCUAAACAACUGCUGUGUACAUCUUUCUAUUAACAAUCUUAAGGGAAGUCUGAUCAUCAAACAAAUAGCCCAAUGCUAGAGAUGAGUUUUCAUCUUCUGCCCCAUGCGCUAAAGUGCUGCAUCUCCUUCUCAGCAGGCUAGCCAUAGUUGUCUCUUCUGAGGACCCUCUUCGAAUAUUCAAGAUGCCUCGCCAUCAGGACUUGGUGGCUCUUCAGGGUAAAAGUCAGCACUAGUCCUAGAGGUGACUGAGAGGGAGAUGAGGUCGGCUAUAUUGGAGAAUUAAGGAAAAUGAGCAAGGGAAUUUGAGGAGGGGAACUUUCCAUUUUGUCUUUGCACACAGUAGGUGCUUAAAAAUACUUUUGUGGUGUUAUGUGUAUGUUUCACAAGGUUAUGCUUAGUUCUUUAAGUUAAGCUGAAUAAUAUUUCUUUUAUCAGCCAAGGCCUCCUGGCACACAGAAAUGCUUCAAUGCUGCCUGUGAAAACUUGAGCAAAUUAUGUUGCCUCUCUUAGUCUCAGUUUUCUCGUGUGUAAAUUCAGGAAAUUAGACAAAAUGGUCCAUUUUGGUUAUAAAGUUAAUAAUUCAAUGCCUGACAGUGCAGUGUAAUAAGAGAGCAUUAGUUACUGGAAGUCAGAGUCCUGACUCCAGCUCAGCCAGUGAUUAGCUUUUAACUAUGUGUGACUUUUAGCUUUUAGCUGUGUAUGACUUUUAGCUUUUAACUAUGUAUGACUUUUAACCAAGUCUCUCUGUUUCUCUGAGCCUGUUUUCCCAUUUAUAUAAUGAGGUUAGUUUAGUUAGACUCUUAGGUGUGACAUUUUGUAACUGGGCCAAAUAGUAUCAUAGAAGUUUAGAGCAGGAAUGACAAUAAUUUAAUUAAAUUAAGUAAUUUAAGAUUUAUAAAGCAAUUUACAUAAAUUCUAUCAUUUGAUCCUCAUAAUAAUUUUGUGAGUUAUGUGAUAGACCUAUUUUCCAGAUGAAGAACCUCAGGCUGAGAGGCAUUAAGUGACUUUCCCAAAUUGUAUGUAUACCUAGUAAUUAUCUGAAAAGGAAUUUGAAACCCAGCUCUUCAAGACUGAACACCUACUGCUCUACAGAAAAUCCCAAGAUUUAUGUCUGAAUCUUAUUUUUCUAUACACAUAUUUUUUUGCCUUGGUACCCCUCUUCCUUCCCAGCCCAAGGCUCACAUUACG